ACCACUAAAAAUCAAAUCAGUGCUUUUAGAUUUUAGUUUCACUUCAAACAAUCAGAAGAAAUAAUUAAAAAAAAAAGCAAGUUUUCUCUUCCAGAUUUCUGUUUGAAAUGGAUUUCCCUCGAGUUUUAUUGAACCGUUGCCGAUUCGAGUGUCCGUUCGAGGUGGUGUCCGAAGUUCCUGUUUGAGUUAGCUGCUAAAUUCUCAGAGUAAACUUUUGGAUUUGAAGCUCUCUCUGUACCCGAUUUCCUUAGUUCUGCACGUUUUCAGGUCCGCCCUUAUUCUAAUCUUUCCCUUUAAUUCUGUAUUUUGAGUUUUUGGCGAAAAGAGAUCUUUGAUGCGUGCAGAUUGUGAUUCUCAGUGUGUUUGUAUGGUUGAAAUUUAUGUUGAUUUCAUGCCGUUUCCUGAUUAGAUUUUGAAUUAAUUAAGUUGGUUAAGAGAAAAGAAAAGGAAGAUAAUUCAUGGAUGAAUUUUGUCGUAGCGACCAUGUGAAAUUAGUUGUUUAGUUUGUUAACUAACAAAAGCAUCAUGAAAUCCCUCGUUUGAAUGUGAUAUUACUUGGAAAAUUGAGGAUAAAGACUUGAAUGUGAUAUUGAAUUGUCUGUGGAUUAACUUUGUGUUGAGAUUUGGGUAGCGUUUCAUAUUUAAUAAAGGAGCUUAUAAAAUUUAACAAUGAACUUGGGCUAGCCAUAUAUAUAUAUUUUGAGAUUGGGGUUGGAUAUUAUGAGAUGAUAAGGAGAAAUCGGCUGAAAAUUAAUUCUGUUAUUUUACUUCAUUUAUUGUCUAAAUGCUAGGAGCAUGCUAGGCCGUCGACACUAGGAUAGGCAAUUUUAGGAUUUGUCAUUUGUUUUUGGUUUUGAGGCGAGGGGUUGUCCCUUAGUUGAAUUUAUCCGGGGAAUACCCCGUAAAAUUUGUAAAUAUUAUUAUCCGGAAUAUGCUCCGAAGAACCAUGUAAACAUUUUGGAGGCUUUGAUGAGCAUGACGGAGAAGUCGUAGUAUAUGUUAGCUUAGGAUUUUUCUUUUCUUUUCCUUUUCAUUUUCUUUACUAGGUGGGGACGACCUCGAACCUUUUUUAUUGUUUAUUUUAUUUUGUGCGUUUUUAUUUCCUCACCUUGAAUAUUUUAAAAGCCAACUAAAUCGAGUACGCAACCGUGAUCUUCACGGGACUUGGGGAGUGCCUAACACCUUCUCCCCGAGUCAAAUGAACCCCCUUACCCGAAUCUCUGGUGCGGAACCGUGAUCUUCACGGGACUUGGGGAGUGCCUAACACCUUCUCCCCGAGUCAAAUGAACCUCCUUACCCGAAUCUCUGGUGCAGACUUAGUUUUAGAGUCUGAAACAUUUUGAAAGGAAAAAUUAUUUUAAAAACGGUGACCUGGCACACCGAAAUCAAAUGUCAGGUGGAUGAGUUUAUUUCCUUUUGAAAAAUAAUAUUUGUCACUUUUAAAAUUGAAAACCCUUUUCAAGCUUUUAUGAAAAUUCUUUUAUUAAUUUAAGAGGAUUUAGUGAGAGUUUGUAUAAAAAAAGGGGUGUGACAUCUCUGGUGACUCUGCUGGGGACUUGCGGGUUCGAGCUAGUACUUAAUUUUGUUGGCUUUUAGAAUAUUUGGUUGAGUUUUUUUUAUGCUUUUCAUUAGCUUUGCUUAAUUUUUAUUAUAUUUUAUAUUUUGUUAUUUGCUAGUUUUUUUAUGUGUUUACAGUUUUGCUUUAUGUGUUUACUGCUUUAUAACUGUCAUCAUAUGCAUUACCCGGUCAAUUCUCUCUGCAACAAGUCUCGGAGCACGCAUCGCGUGCACGAACUCUUUGUUGAGGCACCCUUAACUUAAGAGGGGGAGGGGGUACGUCAGACGUAUGGAGUGGGUGGCAAGCUUGAGCAGCCACUAUUGACCAUACCCUCUCCCGAAUUGCCUUGUUAGUGAACCCCAAACUUAGGUCAGUCUUAGGUCAUUUUAAUUUGCAUCACAUCAUUUACACCUAGCAGAGUUCGGUCCCAGGUACCGUGUCCUUUUGUAGGGAGCCUGUUCAAAUUAUGUCAAAAUGGGCCCGUGGCUCAAAAUGACAUUUAAUCAUCAUAUGUGCUAAAUGUUGCAUCUUUGAGGGUAAAAAAGUCAUUUGGCAGACCAAUGAUUUGAAAGAAUGGUGAAAAUGAAGCAAGCAGGACCCACUCUCAUUUUUAUUUUAUAGUUUUCCAAAAAUAAAAAAAAAUAAAAAUGAGAAUAUCCAAAAAGAUUUUACACUCUUUUAUUGUUUUUCAAAAAUUCAAACAAGUAGAAAAUGAAAAAUUCAAUUCUUUUUAUACUUUUCCAUUAUUUUCCAAAAAUUAAAAAAAAAGAAGUAGAAAAUAAUAAAUCCAUAAAAGAUUUUAUAAUUUUUCAUUAUUUUCUUAAAACUCAAAAAAGUAGAAAAUGAAAAAAUCCAAAAAGGUUUUGCACUUUCCAUCAUUUUUUCAAAAAUGACCAAAAAUAGUUUUUAUUUCAAAUUAGAUGCAUUUUUUUCCUAUAUCCUAUAUUUUAUUCUCUCGAACUACGCGAACCCGAUUCUCGACCUUCGGGGUGAGAUACGUAGACAACCCACAUUGGGUCCGGUCUUCCUAAUGAUCCUUACAUUCUUGGCUUUGCGGGGUCUUAGCCAAAUUUUGCAUGUCUAACCACUUGUGGGCAUAUCAGCCAUUGUUGCAAAAUGGGGUCAUUUUUGCAAAAGUGGUUCAAUAACUCGUGUCUUAGUAUCUUGAGUCCAUAACUACGCGUCAUGUUACUUUUGGGGCUGACUUUCUGAGUCUGCACUUUAGCCACUUCUGGCCAUAUCGAUCUUUUUUGCGAAAUGGGUUAUUUCUGCAAAUUAAUUUUGGGCCAUGAUAUUUGGAGUUUGAAUCCAUAAAAGUCUUAGUUAGUCAUUUUCCAUGUUCAUGAGGUCAAUUUUGUCGAGUUUGCAUUAAUAGCCACUCUUGACCAUAUCGGUUAAUUUUCAAACAUAGCUCAAUCGUGUCUUGCAUAUGUUCACUAGGAAGUGUUGUGGUGUCAGAAAGUGUCUUGAGUCAUUGAUCUGUUUAAUAUUAUUUUUCUCAUUCAGGUGUUGAUUCAUUUACCAGGACUCGAGCAUAAUAGAUAUCCCGGGACCAUCACAUUUGGGAGCUGUUUGAAGAGACUUUUAUUUUGAGUCUGUUUUAUAUUAUUUUUUGCUUUCUAGUCUUGCUUGGUAGCAUUUAAUCUUUUAGUUGAUGUAAUAAUUUGUCGUAGUAUAGUUGAGUUUGACGAGUCUCGCGUCAUCAUAUUUCUUGUUUGUAUUUGAAAGACCA
rnacentral:lncRNA from 1 species